UCGACAAGACAGAUUCAGUCAGUUAGGCACCCUAGCUGUACUGUGCUUCUGCAGAGUAUAUAAGCCAAAUGGGCAGAAGACAAAGUUAAAACUAAUAGAGAAGUGAUAUCCUGCAGAGUCUAUACAGAACCAUUGUGCCAAAUUACACCAAAAUCCAAGAAUGCUGGUGCGUGGCUUGCCUGGUGACUCACCUCUGCUACAGUACCUGACUUCGGUGAAGAGUUUCAAGUGCAAAUAAUCAGAGGUUACUGCAUACUGGGGAAUUCGCCAUCAGUCAUUAAUACCUUCACUUUACUUCUAUAAGGCUGCUAUUCUUCCCCUUUGCAAUCCUCCAACAUCUCUGUGGAAACUGCAAAUUAACAUGGGAAAUUAAUGUUUACAGUGUUGUGCUGUAGUUGUGUUGGCCCCAGGAUAUUAGAGAGACAAG